AUUGAACGCUGGCGGCAGGCCUAACACAUGCAAGUCGAACGGUAACAGGAAACAGCUUGCUGUUUCGCUGACGAGUGGCGGACGGGUGAGUAAUGUCUGGGAAACUGCCUGAUGGAGGGGGAUAACUACUGGAAACGGUAGCUAAUACCGCAUAACGUCGCAAGACCAAAGAGGGGGACCUUCGGGCCUCUUGCCAUCGGAUGUGCCCAGAUGGGAUUAGCUAGUAGGUGGGGUAACGGCUCACCUAGGCGACGAUCCCUAGCUGGUCUGAGAGGAUGACCAGCCACACUGGAACUGAGACACGGUCCAGACUCCUACGGGAGGCAGCAGUGGGGAAUAUUGCACAAUGGGCGCAAGCCUGAUGCAGCCAUGCCGCGUGUAUGAAGAAGGCCUUCGGGUUGUAAAGUACUUUUAGCGGGGAUGAAGGGAGUAAAGUUAAUACCUUGGCUCAUUGACGUUACCCGCAGAAGAAGCACCGGCUAACUCCGUG
rnacentral:rRNA from 1 species